GGCAAUGUUGCAUAGUGGUGAGGGGCAGGGCUUGUAACCAAGAGGUUGCUGGUUCGAUUCCCAGCUGGGGCGCUGCCG